rnacentral:rRNA from 1 species
GAUGAACGCUAGCGGCAGGCCUAAUACAUGCAAGUCGAACGGUGUCUUCGGGCAUAGUGGCGCACGGGUGCGUAACACGUAUGCAACCUACCUUACAUUGGGGGAUAGCCUUUCGAAAGGGAGAUUAAUACCGCAUAAGACAGUAGCUGGGCCUCCAGCAGCUGUUAAAGAUUUAUCGAUGUAAGCUGGGCAUGCGUCCAAUUAGCUAGUUGGUGAGGUAACGGCUCACCAAGGCAAUGAUUGGUAGGGGAACUGAGAGGUCAAUCCCCCACACUGGCACUGAGAUACGGGCCAGACUCCUACGGGAGGCAGCAGUAGGGAAUAUUGGGCAAUGGACGCAAGUCUGACCCAGCCAUGCCGCGUGCAGGAUGAAGGCGUUAUGCGUUGUAAACUGCUUUUAUACAGGAAGAAACGACUCUUGCGAGAGGCAUUGACGGUACUGUAUGAAUAAGCACCGGCUAACUCCGUGCCAGCCGCCGCCGUAAGAC